rnacentral:tRNA from 1 species
GAGGGUAUAGCUCAGUUGUAAAGUGUGCGUGCUUAGCAUGCAUGAGGUGCUGGUUUCAAUCCCCAGUACCUCCA